rnacentral:rRNA from 1 species
CUGGCUCAGGAUAAACGCUGGCGGCGUGCUUAACACAUGCAAGUCGAACGGAGUGGUUCUCCCGAGGAUUGACGGUGCUUGCACCUGAUUGACUCAUUGAAUCACUUAGUGGCGGACGGGUGAGUAACGCGUGGGUAACCUGCCUCACACUGGGGGAUAGCAGUUGGAAACGACUGAUAAUACCGCAUAAGCGCACAGUAUCGCAUGGUACAGUGUGAAAAACUCCGGUGGUGUGAGAUGGACCCGCGUCUGAUUAGCUAGUUGGUGAGGUAACGGCCCACCAAGGCGACGAUCAGUAGCCGGCCUGAGAGGGUGUACGGCCACAUUGGGACUGAGACACGGCCCAAACUCCUACGGGAGGCAGCAGUGGGGAAUAUUGGACAAUGGGGGAAACCCUGAUCCAAGCGACGCCGCGUGAGUGAAGAAGUAUUUCGGUAUGUAAAGUUCUAUCAGCAGGGAAGAAAAAUGACGGUACCUGACUAAGAAGCUCCGGCUAAAUACGUGCCAGCCGCAGC